UGAUUUAUGUGCACAUAUUAGUGAUUUUGGCCUUUCAAAGUUUCUCACAGAAUGCACAGAUUUUUGUCUUUGGAAUGAGUCUAGUUCAAUUGGGCUAAGAGGAUCUAUUGGUUACGUCGCCCCAGGUAUGCCUCCUUUCUGCAGCAAACUAUCCUUGUGCAAAUAACAAUAAGAAAAUAUUUUAUCAGAAUUCAGUUUUAUGCACUCCAAGUGAUUUCAUUAACUAAGCUGGCCAGAAUUGAACCAAUUUUUCCCAAAGCUUAAAUUUCUAAAGAUGAAAGCAAUCUAUUAUUUAUAUAGUUAACAAAUUCCACCACAUUCAAGCCCAUAGGUGGAUUGGUAAAUAUAGCUCCUCCCUAUUCGAAAUUAAUUAAAUAGAAAUGGGACAGCAGUCAAGAUUCAAACCUAAUAUCUGGCUCCUAUACCAUGUUCAGUAAAAGAGUUGAAUCAGUAUUUCUAAAAACUGAUAGCUAAAGCGCAAUAUAUUAUUUAUACAUUAAUAAUUGGCUCUCUCUUUCAUUAAUGUCAAGAUCCCCUUAGAUGCUGUGGGAUUUAGGUCUAAGUUCUUCUGCAAGAGAAAGUGAUAAUUAAACUAGUUAAUACCCACAUCAUCAUGUUCAGAGACAUUUUAAGCUUGUGUAUGCGACAGAGAGUCUCUUCAAGACCAAAAUAAGAAUCAAAAGAGAAGGGAAAGCAAUCAACAAAUCAACAUUGUAAAAUUAAUAGGUAAAACAUGUAAUGUUAGCCAAAGCCAAUAGCAUUUUAAUUUCCUAUAUGCGUUUGAUUAUCUUUUGUAUGUCAUGUGAGUACUUAUUAAUAAUUGUGAUAUGCAGAGUACGCCAUGAGAGGGUCACCUUCAACAUCUGGUGACGUCUACAGCUUUGGCAUCCUGUUGCUAGAGAUGUUCACAGGAAGAAGACCCACAGACACCAUCUUUGAAGACGGAACAAACCUCCACAUGUUUGUAAAGAAUUCUAUACCAGAAAAAACUCUGGAAAUCAUAGAUCCCAAACUACUGCAUAUUGAAGAAGAAGACAACGAAAUUGAAAGCAAAAUUAGCAGAAUAGAACAAUGCUUCAUUUCCAUAUUUAGGAUUGGAAUUGCUUGUUCUGCAAGUCAACCUAAUGGCAGAAUAACCAUGAAAGACGCCACCAAGGGCCUGAUUUCUAUCAGGGAAAGAUUUUCUUUCAAGUAAAAUCAAGUUAUAAGUAGUACUAAUUUCUUGGUAGCCUAAUCAACAAAGUACAUAAUCAGGAACUGUCAAUCUCUCAAUUAACUAUUUGCCUAAUUCUUGGAUUGAUCUUAAACUUGCCUUUAUCAUGUAUUUUGUCAAUAUAUUUUAAGAUUAUUAUAUUAAAAUCUUAACUAUAAUAUCUAAAAAGUAUUGUGAUAAUUUUUUACAUGUAUAGUAUUCUAUUCACCCUCUUAUUCAACAAGGCUACUUCUGUAUUUGGAUACGGUAGUGAGUGGGGUAGGAUACAAUUGUUUGAGAUAUUAAGGUACUUAUAAUAAAGAUUCUUAUGUUACCAUCUGUUUGAGAUGAUUAAGUAAAGAACUGAACAAUAUAACACAAAGAUCAUAUUACUCGUUUCUUAAUUCAUACUUAUAAUUCAGAGUCGUGUGUAAUACUACUCUUACUUUUAUUUCAAAAAAAAUAAUUCAGAGUUGUGCAGUGGUGGCAGCAGCAAGAGUGACAACAGUACUGAUGACAACAUGUACAACAAUAGUGGGGGUGGCAGUAAUGAUAAGGAUGGCAGAACAAGCAGUGACAAUGUCGUGGUGGCAGUAGAAAUGGUGGUGGCAGCUGAAGGUGGCUGAGUGUAACACUCUGAACCCAGUAACCACUAGCUCAAUAAUUUUUGCAUUAAUUUAGAAUCAUUGAAUUGACACAUAUUCUGAUACUAUUUAUAACAUUCUGAAUCCAACAACUUUGGGACCUAAAUCACUAGUUUUCAAAGUUCAAAUUCAAAUUAUUGGUAGUUUGUGACAUGAGCUUUUAUAUGAAAUCUAACAAUCACAUAUUAUCCUGAUGUAAAAUUGAAGUAUCACAUUAUGAAUUUAAUGGAGAUUGGAUGAUGAUAGUGGUGGUCAGUAAUAAUAAGAGUGUCAGUGGAAGUGGGCAGGUGGGACCAUGGGAGAGGCAAUGGUAACAGUUAUGGUAUUCUUGGAAAGAUAUAUAUGAGAAGAAAAUUAACAAAAUGGACGUUCUAGCCUUUUUAAAGCACUAUCUAGAUAUACACUGUUUAGCUACCUCUCAUGGAAGGAAUAACGCUACCAACCAUUUUAAGAUGGGCAAUAUCUUAUCCUACCCACAAAUAUUUCCUACUAAAUAUUGGGUGGGAUAGGAUGAGGAAGCUUCUCUGAAGUUUACUCUGUUUUACCCAAUGUAUCAGUCAUAGCCUAAAUUAAAUACUUAUCUUACUCAUCACUAUUCGACAAUAAUGUAGCCUAAGUAUCAGUCAUAGCCUAAAUUAAAUACUUAUCUUACUCAUCACUAUUCGACAAUAAUGUAGCCUAAAUACAACGACGUCCCACGACGCAUUUGGAAAACAAAGAAAAUUAAUCCACGGAUACCUAGAAAGCUUAAUUGCAAAUUCGGUCCACCAACUUUUGCUUCAUUCUCAUUUUGGUCCCUUAUAUUUCAAUUCUUAAAAGUAAGACCUAAUAUGUUUAUUUUCCUGUCUGUUCUAAGAGACGACCUUUCACUCUCUUCUCACAAUAGGAGAUGUAUCAGCAGCUUCCAUAAUCUCCUAUAUCUAGUUCAUUUUACAAACUCUGGUUCACAACUGGUAACAUUGACCCGCAGUCGUUUAGGGAGUAAAACAUAGAUAUACAGGUUACAUUUCAAGUUCUCAACCAGCAAAACACAUAAAUUUUCGUUUAAUUGAACCCUAAAUUCACAUAACACAAAUUCUCGGUCUUUUAGAUUCCAAUGGGGUUUCUCAAAGUAACUCCUUACCUCAAAAUUGAAGCUUUGUUCAGGGAAGAGGUGGACCUCGACCCACGCUUGAAGCAAAGUCCUUCAGCUUCUAGAUCACGCCCCGGAACAUCCUCUCUACCCUAGAAAGAAGCCCGUCCCAAUCCACAUCUGUUUCCCCCACUUCAAACCCUAAGAAGCCCAUUUCGCCUUAUCCAUGUCUAUUGCUCGCUGUCUCCUCUCAACUCUCCCUCCCUCGUGUUAUUUAUCUAACAUGAUCCUCUCUCCGGCCUUCAUCUGCUAGCGAAAUGGAAGAAAAAUUCUCCAUUCCUGCUUAAUUUCCUCCAUAAUUUCUACAUCUAUGCAAAUAGCAUGCCCAUUUCCAGUCUUCUCUGAUCUCUGCAUAAGAUUUUUAACCCAGAGCAGUAUUCGAGAUUUCUCGCUUGGCAAUUGCAAGACUUCUUCUUCCUCCUUAAAUGUUCAAAGUCCAACUCCCCGAACUCUGUCAAGUCCACGCAAAGCUCUCUUUGCUCUGCUCUUUUCUGCUUUCUCAAAGCUGCGCAUGCCAUUUCACCUUUCCGUGACUUUUUUAACUUCUUUCUCUGGGCGUGAACGUGCUUAGUUAGGUCCACCAACCAGCUGCAGUGACUGUUGCGGGUGUAAGAAGAGAGAAACGUCGUUUGCUGCGAAGAAGACAGGAAAGAGAAACGGGUCGCCGCGGAUCGGUCAUCAGAGAGCAGUACGAGAGGGAAUAAAUCGGGUCGGAUAAUAUUUGCCAACCUGAAUUGUUGUCGAGUGGUAAACCCGAACCGACCCAAUAAUGCUUGGAAGGCCAAGCCUGACCCGAGCCCAUCAUACUGGAAUGGGCGGGCCUUUAAAAUUUUUCUUAAGUUUGUACUUGACGUAAUAUUUUCUUAAUUUUAAAUUUUGUAAAUUCACACGAGUUUACCAAUUUAAAGUUAUGUAAAUGAAGUUUAUAAGGAAUAUAUUACUAGUUAGCCUAAUCUAGUGAGUGAAAAGACUUACCU
rnacentral:lncRNA from 1 species